rnacentral:rRNA from 1 species
ACGAACGCUGGCGGCGUGCUUAACACAUGCAAGUCGAACGAUGAACUCCAGCUUGCUGGGGGGAUUAGUGGCGAACGGGUGAGUAACACGUGAGUAACCUGCCCUUGACUCUGGGAUAAGCGUUGGAAACGACGUCUAAUACCGGAUAUGAGCUGUGACGGCAUCGUCUGCAGUUGGAAAGAUUUUUUGGUCAAGGAUGGACUCGCGGCCUAUCAGGUAGUUGGUGAGGUAAUGGCUCACCAAGCCGACGACGGGUAGCCG